rnacentral:rRNA from 1 species
UGUCUNNGUAUAAGCGAUCUUAUACGGUGAAACUGCGAAUGGCUCAUUAAAUCAGUUAUAGUUUAUUUGAUGGUCUCUCACCACUUGGAUAACCGUGGUAAUUCUAGAGCUAAUACAUGCGUCGAGUCCCGACUAUCGCGGAAGGGAUGUAUUUAUUAGAUUGAAGACCAAUGCGGGGCCUCGGUCCCGGUCUGUUGGUGAUUCAUAGUAACUGUUCGGAGCGCAGGGCCUCUCGUGCCGGCGCCGGAUCAUUCAAGUUUCUGCCCUAUCAACUGUCGAUGGUAAGGUAUCGGCUUACCAUGGUUGCAACGGGUGACGGAGAAUUAGGGUUCGAUUCCGGAGAGGGAGCCUGAGAAACGGCUACCACAUCCAAGGAAGGCAGCAGGCGCGCAAAUUACCCAAUCCCGACACGGGGAGGUAGUGACAAUAAAUAACAAUACAGGGCUUUCGUAAGUCUUGUAAUUGGAAUGAGAACAAUUUAAAUCCCUUAACGAGGAACAAUUGGAGGGCAAGUCUGGUGCCAGCAGCCGCGGUAAUUCCAGCUCCAAUAGCGUAUAUUAAAGUUGUUGCAGUUAAAAAGCUCGUAGUUGGAUUUCGGCGGCGCCGCGUCGGUCCGCCUGGCGGCGUGUCACUGUCGCGGCGCGGCUUUCUCUCGAGGGCCGCGCGUGCUCUUGAGUGAGCGUGCGCGGGACUCGGGACGUUUACUUUGAAAAAAUUAGAGUGUUCAAAGCAGGCGGUUGGGCUUGAAUACAUUAGCAUGGAAUAAUGGAAUAGGACGUCGGUCCUGUUUUGUUGGUUUUGGGGACCGAGGUAAUGAUUAAUAGGGACAGUUGGGGGCAUUCGUAUUCAAUUGUCAGAGGUGAAAUUCUUGGAUUUAU